AGCAUCAGGGAGAGGAAAGAAAGAAUGUCAAAUUGUUACGUUAACUUCCGAUCCCCGUAACUUCUCCGUCCGAGCUCCAAUUGCCGCACUGUUUGCGGCCAAGCGUUCACCGCAUCGAGCUCUACAUUUCUACCGGAACAAUUUCAUAGGAUCCAAUUAACUUGAGGAAAACGUUUACUCUUGCUUAUGUGAAGCUUGGGUAAGGUUGUGAAUAAAUAAUUGGAGCUUGAAAUUGUGAAUACUAAAACUUGGAGGAAGCAGAUUAGUUGAGGUUUUGAGGGCUGUGUUCUUUUAGGAAAAUUGUCUUGGAAUAAUACUUGGGAAUCGGCUAAGAUGCAGGUCGAAAGGCAUCUCGUUAGGCGUCUGGACUCUUGAAGCAAAGUGAUUACUAGGUUUAUUUUGUUGUAUAGUGAUGUAUAUAUAUGUACCUAGCUUUCUCUCUGCAUGACUUAUUCUUUUUGAUCCUCUUAGAGGUUUAUGGAGAGGCAGGAUUGUGUUUAUGUACUUUUGGGUUUUGGAUAUGUAUAUAUAUAUGUGUAAAUAUUCUCCGGCCAGUCUUGACUUCGCAGGCUGAGUUAGGAGCUUGUUAUUUUGUAUCUUUGGCACUCUAUUCCUACUUCUAUUAUCUUAUGUCUAAUAGUUAUGGUUUU